rnacentral:rRNA from 1 species
GGCGAACGGGUGAGUAAUGCAUCGGAACGUAUCCUGUAAUGGGGGAUAACGUAGCGAAAGUUACGCUAAUACCGCAUACGCUCGAGAGAGGAAAGUGGGGGAUCGCAAGACCUCACGUUAUAGGAGCGGCCGAUGUCCGAUUAGCUAGUUGGUGGGUAAAGGCCUACCAAGGCGACGAUCGGUAGCUGGUCUGAGAGGAUGAUCAGCCACACUGGGACUGAGACACGGCCCAGACUCCUACGGGAGGCAGCAGUGGGGAAUUUUGGACAAUGGGCGAAAGCCUGAUCCAGCCAUGCCGCGUGCGGGAAGAAGGCCUUCGGGUUGUAAACCGCUUUAGUCCGGGAAAAAGGGGUGCGAGGAUAAUACCCUUGUGCUUUGAUUGUACUGGAAGAAUAAGCACCGGCUAACUACGUG